UCUGUUCAUUCAUAUGCAACGACAAAUACCAUGCUGCAAAUCAUCUCUGAGGGGGCUAAUCAUCAAGUUAGGCCACGCGACAACCUAGAGAUGAAUGGAACAAGCUGUUCCGUCCAAAAUAAAUUAUACUACUAACAAAUAAAUGAAUGAAACAAGGUGUUUAUAGAAGCUCAUGAAACGCGGCGCGAACGCGUCCGUCCCAUAGGCACCCUUCCAAAAGAGCUCCCGGGCCAGCUACGGAACAUUCUCUUCAUCUGGUUGUCGCCAACACGCCCAACCGUAUCAUAUCGGUCGACCGUAUCACCCGCCGUCGUGUCCGUCCGUUCUGUCCAUGCAGGCAGGCAUCAUCCUGUUGAUUUGGGUAAUUCACGUCCCGACGAAGAGCAUUUAACAAGGAGAUAAGAAACGGAUGCAAUCCAGCAACCGAAUCAGAAGUCCUUCGACCACGCACACGCACCUGCCCCCAAUCACCUCAACCACACCAAUGCUCCGCUCCAGUAGAUAGAAAUCUCACCUCAGGAAAUACUAAGAUAUAUACUAUAGGAUUUAAACACGGCGAGCCCAAACAGUUUCCCUUCAAUCAAUCAAACCACCACAAAAAAGAGACCAUUCAAAUCGGCAGCAACAGCAAAAGAUUAAAAAAAAACAUUCAUAUCCGCGACUCGCACGCAGCCCGAGACGGCCCCGCAUUUCUUCUUUGACCCGCGCGCGCGCCACAGCGAUGAGAUCCCCACCUCCCUUUAAAACCCCACGACAACCCACCAUCCGAUCUCUCUCCUUCUCCUACCCUUCUCGCCCACACGCACGGACUAACCGGACCGAAUCAAACCGCGCAACCGUGCGCGCGACUCCUCCUCCUAGUGGGGCCGCGCGAUGCCGCUGGACGGCGGCGGCGGCGGGGCGGCGGUCAUGUUCGUGGCGUACGCGGCCCUGGCCGUGGCGNNNNNNN
rnacentral:lncRNA from 1 species